GCGGCGCCGAGCGAACUUAUCUCACUGGAAUUUGGAUACAGAAGUACCCAUUCCUGAAAAUAAAAACCUCCCACCUGGAAGGGAUGGUGCCACAGGUGAACCAUGGAAAUUCCAGUAGAGCAACUCAUGCUGCUUUAUAGAACCAUGGAAAUUCCAGUAGAGCAACUCAUGCUGGAACUUACUUUGUCAGAGCAUGCUCCCAAAAGAACACAGAAUAGUAAACAAGGGGUAUUCCAGUUAUGGAGUUAUCCUCUCAACAAAGGAAGUGCCACGGAGAACAGGUGAGAGAAUAUUUAUGUUUGUAAAUCCCUAAAU